GGCGUAGGAUAUUUGAGAGGAUCUGUCCUUAGUACGAGAGGACCGGGAUGGACUGACCUCUGCUGUACCUGUUGGGAAUCAAUCCCAUCGCAGGGUAGGCAAGUUGGGAAUGGAUAAACGCUGAAGGCAUCUAAGCGUGAAGCCAACCUCAAGAUGAGAUAUCCCAUCGCAAGAGUAAGACCCCUUGAAGAGAACGAGGUAGAUAGGACUGAGGUGUAAGUGUAGUAAUACAUUCAGCUGACAGUUACUAAUAGGUCGAGGGCUUAUCCAAU
rnacentral:rRNA from 1 species